rnacentral:lncRNA from 1 species
AUUUAAGGAUCGUGAAAAAGAAGACCCGGAAAGGAGCUGGUGCUGCCGCUGCUCAGAUCUGAGGGUGUUGGGGUAGGAGAAGUUUUGUUCUAGUUUCAGGGUUGUGGAGCUGCAGAUCCAGGGAGGAGCAAGGUUGUUGUAAUUCGAGGGUCAGGAAGCUAGCGACCCAGGGAGGAGAGGUCUUGUUCUGGUCUGAGGGUCGCGGACCUGCAGACCCAGGGAGGAGCAGUGUUGUUGUAGUUUGAGGGUCAGGAAGCUGGUGGCCCAGGGAGGAGAAGUCUUGUUCUAGGUUGAGAUUAAUCUGAGAGUUGCUAUUAAUGGAGAAACUGAGAACUUACCAUUUUUCCCGUGAGGUUUUGGUGUAGAAUGAUAUUGUGUGAGUUCUGGCAGCUGAGUCACUUCACACAGCCCGGUGAUGCAGUAGGUGUCACAGAAGGACCCUCUCCCAGUUGGUCCUGCCUCUCUGCUACGAUGAGUGUGGCCUCUGAUCCCCAACAGCUGACUGUGUCUUGAGACCACACCCAUGAGCACAAGGGUUUCCACGGUGAAGGUUCCUGGAUGGAACACUGUGGAUGUUCCUAAUGUUCCUUCCUGAUGUUCAUCUGCCAUCUUGCUAUUUAAUGCGAUGUCUUCUAAAUAUUGAAUAGAAAAACGUAUUUGUACAAUAUGGGCAAGGUAUAAAGAAUAUCCACACACUGGACACACAGACAGGGAGGGGCACCCACAGCAAACUCCCUUCGCCUGGGAGGAGGUGUGGUCCUUGAGUCCUAUGUUGCUGAGACUCAGAAGUUUUCUGGGACAUGGGAUUUCUAGUGUUAAAACUGGGAAAGUUCUGGGCAAACCUGUAUGAGUUGGUGCCUGCCAUGGGGCCUUUGCAUCUACUGUUACCCCUGUCUGGGAUUCCCUUUCUGCAGCUCUCUGUGGUGCUCACUCCUUUUCUGUUGAGGAAAGGCUGCUCUCUGGGUGUCCCCAGGUGCCUGGUCCACUGUACUCAGCACUACAUGCUCUGUGAAAAUCCCUCCAUGCACUUCGUAGAAUGAGAUCUGUUCUUUCCACCCUUCCCUGCCCACUUCAGUUUCAAAGUCUCUGAUGAUUAUUAAUUUUUAUUCUCUUCAGCACUGAAAGAUACAUCUCUUUCCCUAAGGCUGUGGCUGGGUUCACGCAUAGUUAGAUAAAUCUGAUAUUAAUAAUAACCUGAAUGAAAAACAUGUAUUAAAUCCCAAGAUUAUGAUGUAGGAAGCAGGGAUUCUGAAAAGAUGUGUAAGCCUAAUAAAGGCCAAAGGGUGUGGAUUAAAAGGAAAUGUGGGGUGGAGAAACAUUUCAUGAAAUAGAACCCCAUCUCUUGGGUGAGUUCGUUGGUACAACUUUUCUAGAGGGCAGUUUUGCAACUGGCCAAUGAAAGUGCAUAACUUUUGGUCCCAAAUUUCAUUUAUAGGCAUUUAUCCCUAGGAAAUAGUCAGAAAAAUAUGCAAAGAUGAAUCUCAAGGAUUUUUAUAAGAAGAAAGAAGUAGGAAGCAUAAAUGCCCACUGGUGGUCCCACACCCUGGCACCAGUGCUCCCCUCUCCUAGUGGGUGGGCACACGCAACAUUUUCCCAGGCUUCCUUGCAGUGAGUUGUGGCCAUGUGACCAGGUUCUGGCCAAUGGGAGGCAAUAAAAGUGUUGGGUGGUAUUUUUGGAGACCCCUUUCUAUAACUUCUGUCUUGUUAUGGUUUGGAUGUUGGUCCCCUCCAAAUCUCAUGUUGAAAUGUGAUCCCUGAUGUUGGAGGUGGGGCCUGGUGGGAGGUGUUUUGGUGAUGUGGGCAGAUCCCUUUGACAAUGGCUUGGUGCCG